GGAAGGGGGAGGGGGCGAGCUUUUCAGCAUCCGGACGCGGCCCUUCCCGGCGGCUGGAUCCAUCCAUCUGUGGGAGCUCCGAGUUGUCCCAGCCGAGCGGUUGGGGAGGAGGACAGCCGGCGGCCGGGGCCGGGCAAAGUUACGGGAUUCCUAGCAGCCCCCAGGCGCGCGGCCAGAGUGGCUCCGCGCUUGCGCGAGAACCCAGCGCCAGAAGGGCACGUGGAAAUUCUCCGCCAAAGCGCCUUGCCCGGGCGAGUGCUCAACUCGGUGAUUUAUAAACAGCUCAGCCACUCCCCAAAGACCUCCGCUCCUCGUUAGUCAUGAUGAAUUCUCCGGCCCGUUCCACUUUGCUGUCUAGAUUAAGAUGCUCGGAGGCCCCAAAGUGCUCCCCUUGAGCGUUGAUUUGGCUUCCCUCACAAACUCACGAUCGCCGGCAACGCCAGCACUAAAGUAUUCGCGCGGUACACUCGAGCGUGCGUGGUUGCUCCGCUGCUACAGCACCGGCCUGCGCCGGAUCCUCCUACCCUUGCUAGCAGGCUCCGAAAGCGGCGGCAGGCACCUGCUCCGGGUGGCUGCGGCGCUGACGGCGCGACGCGCUCGUGCUGGGUAGAACCGUACUGCCGGUGCAGGGUCCCGCAGUCUCGCUCCGGAGUUCUCUGCUGAAGGCUAAGCAGACAGCUUCGCCACUAACGGAAAAAGUUGCAUCCAAAAGCUCAAGGAACACGGAAAGCGCUCACGCAGUCGAAGCCGCCCUUGGUGCCUCCCUGCCCCUUACCCAGAGGCCGAACACCCCCUUGACAGCGCUCCUUGUCACAAAGAGAAGGUCUACUCGAUCCAGACCGCUGCGCUGUUAGAACAGGCAACUCCUCCGCUCCUGAACAAGUAGUCUCUUACAAAACCGAGGCGCCGGUGGAGCCUGCCUUUAAUGGGGUCCUCACUCCGAGGUGCUGGAAGACCAUCCGGUCUGGAACCUAAAAGGAGGAGAUCUGGCGCUAGCGGGGUGGGGAGAGGCGAAUAAAAGCACCUUUGGGGAGGCAAAAGUGUCACACCUGGAGCAAGAAGCACAUGGGCACUGAAAUUCUAAUAGUUGGGGAAAGGAGACUUCAACGUGUGUGUGUGUGAGGGGGGGUGUAGCCUGACUUCUGGCUCUAGGUAUGAGACGUUGGGGUGUAUGUGUGUAUGUGUGUCCCAA
ensembl:lncRNA